GAAUUUCGAUCUUUUCUAUUUUUUGCUGCAAGAUUCUCGAGUAAAAAGGUAUGAUGAAUAUGUUGGAUACUUUUGUUAUGCUAUUAGUAUAAAUAAAUAAGGUUAAUAUAUAGUAAAAAUUAAAGCAUCUUACUCUCUUAUUUCUCUUACUUGGAAGAUAAUAGAUUCCAAUGCAUUCAUUAUAAGAAGUGAACUCGUCUCUGGUCUUUUCAGUAUUAAAAUAUGUAGAGAAUAUAUUUAUACAUAAUUUUUAUUUGUUUAAUUAAAAAAUUUAUGAAAAUUUGAACCUUUAAUUUUUUAUUGACGGUGACACAUUUACUAAGUAGUUGAUUAUAUGUGUUUCGCAAAAUUGCUAAUGAGCAAACCAUUAAGCAAAUAUGGGAUAUUUUGAAGCUGUUUGUAAUAGAUAAAGCUUGGAAAUCAAGUUACAAUUGUUGAGAGUGAAAAAGAAUCAUCUCUGCUACUGAAAAAACAAAUUACUAAUUUUAUUUUUAUAUUUGAAGAUAAAAUAUUAUUAUAUUAUAUUAUAUUUAAAUGAUAAAUCAUAUUAUAUCAUUUUUUCCCAUGUACCUCUCUUUUUAAUGUUGGAUUAGAUCCUAAUUAGAUGAGAGAAUACAAAGAUUGUAUUUGUUUUAGGAGAAAGAGAGUAAAAAAAGCAAGCAAUUGAGAAGUUAGAAAGAAAGUGUCCAUCUAGAGGAGGGAUGAAAAGAUAGAAGGAAAAGUAUGGUAGGAUAUAUUAAAUUGGGUUCUUCUUCCUUAUAAGGAGAAAAUGGAGGAGAAAGCAUGAUUUUAUUUUCGUUAUCAAAAUGUUUCUCACAUUAAAAUCUCAUUUUGCUUUCUUCGUGUAUAUGUAUAACUACUUAGAAUUCUACCACAACAUCUCUAUCAUGAUAAUUAGAUUGUUUUUGUUGAAUUUUUAUGAUUGAAUAAAAAUAAUCAACAAUAGUAAUAGUAUUUACUAAAAGUAAUAUAGAAAUGAUAAAUUAUUAAAAUAAAAAAUAAUUUACAAUAAAAAUACUAUUUAUUUUUCUAUCUUUAUUCUAAAAGUAUUUUUAUCUUUAAGAAAACAAUAUUAUUUAUUUCUUCUCACUUUCUAUCUAACCAAAUAAAAAGGAGAGAGAAGUGUAUAUCCUUUUCUCUUCAUUCUCUUUCAUCUUUCUAUUAUAGGAGACAAUAUAAAAAUUCCACUCCGAUUUCUGAACUUUAUCUAUCACGAUACUUUUUUCUCACUUAAUUUUCUCUUCUCACUUUAUCCUAUUCAACCAAACAAACCUUAAAGGGUGAAAAUUGUUCAUACCAUGUUGAUUAAAUUUGAUUAUGUUGUGACUAAAAUAAUUGACUCCCAUCACAUCACGAAGAUAGCAAAAUUGUAGGAAAGUAUUGAAAGCCACAUGAACAUUAUUUUGGAGAAGACAGAAAUGUGAUAGGAAGAAGCAUUGAAGAUCCAAGUGAAUAUGACAUAAUCUAGAGAAAUCAGAUAUGAUAAACAUCAUCAUUUAAAUAAUGGAAGAACAGAAACUACAUAACUAGAGGUCGAGGAAAUCUCAGAGGUAGAGGACGAGACAACUUCAAUCAAUGGAGAGACAACAAUUUCAGAC
rnacentral:lncRNA from 1 species